AAGGGGGCUUUUUCUUUCUUUCGCUCUUUCUUCUCGCAGGGAGGAAAGUUGCUUCGCACAAGAACAUGUUGUCAAGGAAAUAAACCUUAGCGAGGGUAGGCAUUAAACACACAGCUGCUGGACUUGGCCGGGCCUUAGACACUGGUGGUAAUGACAAUGAUGCUUAGUGGCAGCAAACCAGAUCCAAACAUAAAUAGGGCUGCAUGAAAGGAGAGGAAAUGGAACAAAACGGUUCCUCGGGUACCACUGGCAGAGGAAUAACAUCAAUUUCGAUUAAAAAGCGAAAGAAUUCUCCUGUUUCCACACAUUAGUAAAGGCAUGCAAAUUCAUAACUCACCAACAAUGUACCUUUGAAAUGCAGCUGCACCCCACAAACGGGGCCUUUCUGCGUGCAGAGAAGCAGCCCUGUUUUAAGCAGAAAGAAAACAACUAUUGAAAAAGCCACAAGAGUCCGUGGCAGCAAGGAGGGGCGCCGGGAGAGGUGGAGGAAACGUGUUGGGUCUGGCAGAUGCGAGACACCGGCGUUUUCCAUAGAAAGGAGCCUUCAUUUCUGGUCGUCCCCCAAAGAAGUGGUUCUUCCUGGGAUCCUCCAGCAGCGUUCUUGUUGGGUGCACAACGCCGUUUUGAUAUCUCCACCUGCUGGAGAAAUCCCAGCACGCACAAAGGAGCCGGCCUCUGCCUUCUGAAAAAUACCCAUCUCCUCCGCACCAGGACAGCACAGCCUCCUUUCCUCCUCCUCCUCCUCCUCCUCUGGGUCAGGAAGAAAGCACAGGGCACGAUGUUCGUCCUGCCAGUGACACUUGCAGACGUUUUCAUCUGCACAGGUCAGUGCGAGUGCCAUUUACUGCCGCCCUCGGGCGCUCCGCUCCGCACGCCGGGAGGAGGUCACCCACAAGCACCAUUGGAGAAUUUGGUGACACAUGUCUGUUCUGGCAACCGACAACACAUUUUGGAAACUAUCCCAAUCUUAUUACAUCAUGAGCUCUUCAAUGGGAGAGGAAGCCUGGAAUCAGGCCUCUCUGGACCAAAAAAAAACACGUUCCCCUGCCAGGUGGCGGGCAGGGAGGGCACACCGGGAGCUGCUGGGCCAGGAGCUGGGCUGUCUGCAGGCUGAGCUGGGACAAGGAGCCCUGGACACCCAGGGAAGUCCUGCCCAUGUUGGCUUUUCUUGGUGUCACUGGGCUGACCUGCAGAAACUGAGGUUUCAACGGGAAGAGUGGCUUCAGAUGGACGAGGUGUUGGCUGGUGUGUGGUGCUCAGUGCCUGUGGGUUUAUCAGUGCUCCAGCAAGGCCUGGGGGCACAGAGCAUCACCGGAGGCCGGUUGCCUUUCUUCUGGGGUUAAGGUAGAGGGAAAAGCACAGAGGAGCCGGGCCACGGCCUGCCUUCAGGUGGCAAGCAGUCAGGGACUCCUCCCCGCCAGACGCCGGAUUCAAGGCGGCGAAUGCGGCCCCUUUCUCUCCCCCUCCCUUCUUUUUUUUUUCCGCUGUGGAAUACAAGGCCACUGCCAAAAACAUAUCCAGCACAAUCAAACAUCAGAUGGUGACUCCUUUCCCACAGCUUGUGUGAGUGAAAACAGUGAAAUUAUACCCAUGUUUUAGCGGCGAAUCCCCUGGUGUUCAGGCGAGGCGAGCCCAGCGCAGGGCUCUUGUUCUCCUGCUUUUUGUUCCUGGACUUGCACUGUUUUUAGCACUGGACACCAUUCAGCCUCCAUUCAGUAUUGUAUGUCACUUCACAUAUGGUUCAUCCGCUCCAAAUGUGUGCAUGUACCCAGAAAAUGCAGCUUUUCAUUAUGUAUUCUCUAUGUAACAGAAAAGAUUAAGAUGUAAGCCCAGUGAAUGCAGCAGGAAUUAGUUGGACAGAUGAAUAAGGGAAAAAUGAAUCUGGAAUGACGGCGGAUUUAGUCUAAUGAUUGUGGGAGGGCGUUAAGAACUUGGUGGUAGGUUUCAGCCCUUUUAAUCCCAGGCUGUGUGUGUAUUUUGGCAGGAGAAAUGUUUCUUCAGAACUGCAUCGAGAGGGAUACAGUAAAAACACUUCUAACACGAUACAGAUGAAAGGCAUCAAAAUCCUUGGGCAAGGUAUCAGCCGCCUCUUCUAAAACUGUUUUUGGGAAUUUUUGGUGGCUGUUGUUGCAGACCCCCUGUACUCAGAAAAAAAAUAAAAAUAAAAAUAUAUAUGUGUAUAAAACCCA
rnacentral:lncRNA from 1 species